rnacentral:rRNA from 1 species
GCUGGCGGCGUGCCUAACACAUGCAAGUCGGACGAGUAAAGCGGGCUUCGGCCCGUGAGUAAAGUGGCAGACGGGUGAGUAACACGUGGGUAACCUACCCGGAGGUGGGGAAUAACUCUCCGAAAGGAGGGCUAAUACCGCAUAACAUCUCGGGCGCUUCGGAGCUCGAGAUCAAAGCUAGCCUCUGCUUGCACGCUAGCGCCACCGGAGGGGCCCGCGUCCCAUUAGCUUGUUGGUGAGGUAAAGGCUCACCAAGGCCGCGAUGGGUAGCCGGCCUGAGAGGGUGUUCGGCCACACUGGAACUGAGACACGGUCCAGACUCCUACGGGAGGCAGCAGUGAGGAAUUUUGCGCAAUGGGCGAAAGCCUGACGCAGCGACGCCGCGUGGAGGACGAAGGUCUUCGGAUCGUAAACUCCUGUCGUGCGGGACGAACCCUGAGGGGAUGAAUAAGCCCUUCAGCUGACGGUACCGCUGGAGGAAGCCCCGGCUAACUCCGUGCCAGCAACCGCGGUAAUACGGAGGGGGCCAGCGUUGUUCGGAAUUAUUGGGCGUAAAGGGCGCGUAGGCGGCUGA